CAGUGUUUAACACUUUCAGGGUAAAAGCAGAAAGGUAGUUUCAGUGGAAGGAAAUAAUGGCAGGACUAAAGGAUAAAAUGGUUGACUGUGUUGAGAGUGGCCUCUAAGUUCUCUGAUGCUAAUACUGUCUGUCAAGACUCUCAUGGUUACUUUUUAUUUCUUUCCACUACCUUUUUGUGCUGUUGACACCUACUGACAGAUACUGGAGCAAAGUGUGGUGCUUUGAAAAUUCAUUUAUUUUAAGAGAGAAAAUACAUCCAGGAACGUAGAUUGAUUCAAAAGUAAUACUUGCUGUUUAUUUCCAUAGAAACUGCAACAAAUACAAAGAGCACAAUAACACUAUUUCAUAGAGAAAAUUCUCAAAUACAAACUUUAUUUUGCUGCAUAUUCACUGUCAUUAGCUAUGCAUUUUUGCCAACGAUGAACGAGAACCUGCUUGCUGUUCUUGUAAAAAUUUGCACCGGUGGAGGUGAACCACUGCCACUAUCACUGCUGUUGAAACACAUUACCCACAACCUCACUGAGCUCACAUCCACUGUUUGAUCUCCAUAAAUGUUCAGCAAGCAUCAGUGAAAGUCAAUGGAUGCAAUUUUUUUACCACAUGGAGGAAUUCAGUUCCACAUCUUUUCUUCUCAGAUGCUUCCGUGUCAGAAGCCAUUUUGUCAGACUGACCCUCUGCUGCCAUCUGUCACACAGCAACAAAAUGUAGUGGAAUACUGGUGUGAAGGUUCAACCUCUCCUGAUGUACCACCAAAAUCCACCUCUGACAUUGCACACCAACAUAAUAAAACAGGAGGCAUUACUUUCAGAGCAGCACUUGUACAAAGUUAGCAAAGAAACCAAAUAUAAGCCUUGCAGUACAUAGGGAUAUAACUUUUGGCCAGACUGAGUAUUUUGAAAUAAGCAGUUUUUAAAAAGUAAUAUAUUGUGGCUUUUGCACUUCCGUUAUAUUAAACUGACUUUCUUUACUCACAGUGGGAUUUCAAAUUAAUUCGUAAUUAUACACACAGUGAAGGGAUGAGAAAGAAAUGACCUAAUUACAGACCAAAAAGAUGCCCUACAGCUAUCAUCCAAUUACUCCAGCCAUCAGAGCUCUUAAGCAAAAUGAUGGGUUUAAUCCUCUCUUGGUCACAUGUAGUUGUAAUUUGCCAUUGAAUACUAUAAUUUCACUUUAAAAUAUUCAUUCAUAUAAUAUAAAAAUCUUAGAAUGGAUACAGAUAAUGAGAAUGGGUCAUGAUCACAAAUACCUUCAAGAUUUUGUUCUCGGACAUGGAUUUUCUGGGCAUUGGGUGAAGAAGGAAAUCAUGAGUUCUCUGCUAUGUUUCUAAACAGUACUUAUUAGCUAUAAUUAGGCACAUAGGAGGUUUUUAAAAUAAUGGAAAACCCCAGAAUGCCCAAUAACUGAUGCAAUAUAUUUCCCAAUUUCAACUUUACCUUUUAGAAAGGGAUGAAGAGUUCAUAAAGAGGUACUUGAUAACCUCAGUAAAUGUAAGUAAAAAAGCAGAUUUCUAAUGGGACAUAUCUUCACCUCUGCUCUUUGUGCACUAUUCUCAUUUAUAUUCAUAAUGUUUUCAGUAAAAUAUAACAACAGAAUGGAACCAAUAACUAUGAUAUAAAAAGGGGCAUGGUAUAUAAGAGAUCAGUUUAGAACUAUUUGUUUUUUUCAGUUAAUUGACUACUGAAUAAACUAUUUCGAUAGUAACCCCCAAAAUAUUUUUUCCCUCAGGUUUCUGCAAGCUAAAAAGAAAAAAAAGAACAACCCCCAAACAAAACUGUAAACGAAAUGAAGGAAGUGGAGGCAGCUUCAAGCUUCAGCUUACUGCAGUACCCUCGGAUUUGAUCAGCUUAAUAUGUGACUCUGAGGAUAUGCUGAGUGAAAAGGAAAAAAAUAUGUUUGAAGAAGCUUCUAGGAAGUAAACGUUUCCCUGAGGAACAAUAUGAUAUCUCAAGGAAAACCUGCCUUAAGAUUAUUGGAGGGACUGAAUAAACACAGCAAGGCUGCAGUUAGACACAAAGCUGCAUCUUAGUCUGAAAAUCCUGGAGGUCUCCAGAUAAAUACACCACCUUAACAAUCCUGGUUUUGAAGAACUAUUGUAUGCUAUGGAAUAACAAGCCUGCUUUGGUUAUCCUGUGCUUUCAUGCAGUAUGGAAGAUAUCACAAAUCAUCUGUCCAGAUGCAGAAGUCUGUAUUUAUAAACUUCUGAUAAUGUCGGUUCACAUGAGCUCAGGUUCUGAAUGUCUUAAACUCUCUUCAUAUCUGGCAAAGUCAACGCUGUGAUUCAUCAUUCCACCCUGAUUUAGUAAUCUAAAACAGAUCAAUUAAGCUUCAGGCAGUGAGAAAUGUUUAGAAAGGACAGUAGAAUCUGAAAGACAGAUAAAGUAUAUCCCAUCCUGUAUUCUAGUGCAAUAAAGAUGUUUUGUUACACUAUGAAAAUCCAAUAUUAAUUGCAAAAGGAAAGGAGUGCUUAUAAUAUACAUUACCUUAACUGGAAUAUGUUUGCUUUAUGCUGAAACUUAUUACUAUUUUUAUUUCUAGCAAUUUUUUUUUUUUUUGGCACUUAAGUAAACUUAGAAUGAAGAAAUUUUAAAGCAAUGGUUCCGACAGCCAAAAUGAAAGCAGAAAUAAAAGGUUUUGGAGAGAAUAUAGAGAGGACUAGCAAGUAUGAUUAAGGGGGACAGAGAAACUUAUUUAUGAAGAAAGAUUAAAGGAGUAAAAUAUGUGUAUGUACAUUGGAGAUUAACUAAGUGGCUCAUAAGAAGCAUAACUAUCUUCAAGUAUUUGAUGCAUGUAAACACCAAGAAUGGAGAGGAAAUGAUUAUUUGGAUGCACUUAAAUGGGGAAAGAUUCUGACUUUAAAGUCUGAUACUGUUUUGCUUCAAUGUUGCCAGGAAAGAUCUAUAUGCUGAAAGAGGACGACACUGGAAAGGGAAAAAUUUAUACACUGGAAGAAGCAUGAAGCCAAAAGGAUUUCAGAAAUUAUUCAAAAAACACUAUAAAUUUUAAUACCAAAUAAGAGUUAUGUAAACUUUUGAACCAGCCUAUAAAACUCAAUAGAACAGUAUGACAGCACUAAACGGGUAAUGGAUUCAAUUUCUUGUUAAAGUUUUCUUUUCCCACAAGAAAAUAAAAUGCACCAUUUUGAAAGAUCCUGGAAGAUGAAGUGAUCAGCUGGUUGACCUAAGAUGACAAACUAGUUCCUUUCCACGUAUGAUUUUGAUGCUCUGCAAAUAUCCUAGUAAAUGCUGGCCCCAGAAAGUGGUUCACUCAGUCUGUUACACACUUUGACAGGUUAUAUAGCAGUUAAUAAUUAAGUGAAAGGAAGUUCUGUAUAAAAAAAUCUGCCAUCAUAUACGAAAUAUGUAUGUUCCAACUCUCUAUGUAGAGUCCACUGGUGUGGCUAUAAGUGGUAUCUUUGCUGACCAAUAGCACUGCUGGCAAACUAUCAGGUAAUUGUAAGUAUGUAUUUACCAGAGAAAAAAAGACCGGUUUACGUGCUUCUGUUUGUGAGACACAGUUGUGGCUGUACUGCUCUGCUGUGCUGAGCCCAGAUCCUCUAUCUUGCUGUAGGAUAAGCCUGGUUCUACCUAUAUCUAGGCAGAAAUUUGUUUAAAAGAGUCACAUGAAGAAUCCAUGUUCUUUAGUCAUUUAUAUAGUUUGUCAGAACAAGAUUUAAAUAUUGUCAGUCAUCUUGAAUUAUAACUAGUUUACAGCUUGUGCUCUGAACCCAUCCAUCCUUUUGAUCUUUUUACCUUAAGAAUGCAACUAUGUGGGAAAUAACUUUAAAGUGAAUGAUACACAUCUGACAGACUUUAAGGAAAAAUAAGUAAGAAUUCAGAAACAUUCCAUGUAAAGAAAAAAAAAUGUACCUUUUUAGAAAUGAACUGUUGUGCUCAUUCAUUGCAGAAUUUAAGUAAGAGUAAUGUUUUACCUCCUUCUUAGCAGCAAAGAAGCAACAUCAGAUGAGGGAGACGUAUCUGCACAUUUUUACAUCUCACAAAUAAUCAGCAGGUUAGAGACAAUAAAACAACUUACCUAAAAUAGAAUACUGGAAGGUUUAAGGUGUCUAUGUUGAAACUGUUACUGCGUUCAGUGCCUGCCCAACCAGAGUGUCAUUUAAACAUAACUGUCUUCCAUGUUUGCUCUGAAUCUUUUUGAGAUCACACAGUAUUCUGUUUCUGACCAUUCGCAGAAGGGCUCAGGGUGAAGCGGGCAUGUACCUCUGUCUGACUUAAACAGUCUGGGAAUCCAGAAGAUAAAUGGUAGUGUUAGCUUAUAGCACAGACCUGGAAAGUGCACUCAGACAAACGUAGUAUAUGCCAAUAAAACUGGAAACCUUUCAGAAGGAGACAACUUUUUACAUCUGCUUUGACCUCAGGUAUUUUAAACUCUAAUUUCUGAGGAGGCACACCUUACCCACUGGGUCCCAGGCUAGUCUACAUAGCUGUACAGAUGUGCACUACAACUGCAAAACUCAUUAAGAUUCAAGGAGAUAAAUGAGGAAGGAAACAAUUUUUAUGGAGCAAGCAGGAUUCUGGCCUUUGUCUUUGCCCCACACAGUUUGUAUGUCUAUUUUUCAGUAAAUAGUAGAACUAAGAAUAAUCCUAUGUUCCAUUAUUAACAUCUCAUCUUCAACAGUGGUUAUGUUUUUUUAAAAAAACGGAGCCUUUGAAACAAAAAUUGAAUUACCUUGAUGGUCUGUGGACACUGAGUGGAUGGAAAUAACCACAGUCUUCCACUGUGACAGAGUGCCUCAACUACAUAGGUUGGCAUUAUCUGACUUUCAAAAUUAUGAGUUAGAUUCUAGAUAACUCCAUAAUGUUUCUACUUUGUUAGUCCUCUCACAUAACAUCAUCUGUUCUCUGUAGGUAACAGCUCUCUAAUCUUGGCUUUGGAUUCUACUUUGUGGGCUAGAUGUCUGAAACCAUUGUGAGGGUCUGUGAGCACCUCUACACCUUUCUGGAACAUCCUGUGGGGAACAAGAGUUCUAAUUGAAGCACUUAAGACGUGCUCAGCACUUUUGCUUUAACUACUUUUGUCAUUUGUCUUUCUGGCAUCUCUAGAGUUCAUUGAAAUUUCUCUUGUAAUUCCUGAAAGUUUAAUUUGGACCUCAGUCUCCCCAAGGAAAUAUUGCUAAAGGUCAGAAGUAGGCUUAAAUCAUAAAGUUUCCAGGAGAGGGAAUCUAGGAAUUUCUCUCAGUUCCAUCUUUAACACUGUAGUAGAAGCCAGUGACAACAGGGCUUUGUAUUCCAGAUAUCAGACUGAGAAUGUGGUCUUGGCAUGUUGAAUAAUGUAAUUUGUGUACAUAUAAGCAAAGAAAAUAUUGAUAGUGAAAUAAUUAUGAAUAUAUAAAUGUGAGACAGUAGGAAGCCAUGUUUAAAGGCAUUUUUCAGUUUAUAACCACACUUUUAAGAAUUUCCUGUCUUUUCUUUUAGCCAGACACAUGGGAUUAUUUUAGCGUACUUUUAUUUGUGUGUUGUUUCCUUUACAUUUUUGUUUGAGCAGAAGAGGAUGGGAAUAAAAAUGCAGUCUUCAACAAAGUUUUACAAAGUUUAUGAUUCUAGGCUGUAGUAAUUCCCCUAUGUACACUUAAAACAAUAAUAAAAAUGCAAGCACCAUAUUUUGAAAAGUUAUUAUGACUUAUUAUGUAAACAGAUGAUGAUAAAACAUUCUGAGUUAUUAUUCAAACACAAUACAUCAUAAUUGUUUCUUUGGAGACACUAUAUAUUUCUGUCAUGGGCUUUACUUACAGGAUUCUUUGUAAAACCUUCAUAAAGGUAAUUACUUUGUAUUCCCAUCAUCACAUUUCAAAAAUAGUGAUCUCAGCCUCUGAACAUGUAAACUCUGAAACAAAAGAAGAGUCCUAUUGUCUUCUUGUGUAAACAAAGCUUGUUUACAAGGUUGGGCCUUCCAACACUAAGCCUUACUCUCAAUACACAUGAUUAUACAGGUUUUCUAGAUAUAAAUGUGAACUCACAGAUGGUGGUUUCAGGCCACUUAAUCUUAAUAAGCUAGUUUAUUUGAUGAAAAACUUAGGAGCUGACUUUGUAUUUUUAACAUAUUUAUGGGAAAUGGAGAAUGAGUAUCUGAAGUUGAUAACUUCCCUUUGCAAAUUCUGGUUGAUACACAGGGCUUAACAAAUAUAGGUAGUAUCUUAUUCCACACUGAAUGGAAUAAAAAAUCACUUGUCUUUUGUUAAUAUAAAGUUCAUAAUUAAAUUAUUCUUGAAAUACUGUCAGACAUUUCAGCAAAAGAACAAAAAACAAAAGUUCUAUUUAGUGUGGAUUGGUGUUGUGAUAUACUUAAUAUCUACUUCAACAUUGAAUUAAAAGAUUCAGAAAUCUAUCAUAAUAUGCUUCAAAAAAAGAUCAAAGACAAUGAAUAAAGUUGGCAGAAUAUGUUUGCUUUUACAUGGAAAUUACUGAAAUAAAAGAUUAAAAUAUGUAUUGAUAUUUACUAGCACUAUUUUCCACUGAAGUAAAUGGGUAAACUCUUGGGCUUGAUAUUUCUAAGCCCUUGCUGGUUUGAUACUCCAUGUCUUCUUACUUGCAUUGAUACAAAUAUAGGAAGUACCUAUAGAUUGCAUAAAUGUUGAUCAUAAGUGUUGUUUCAGGAUGAAAUGUAUUGUCUGUUUCUGUGAAGCUAAUGGCUUUUUGGUCACACAGCUUAAAGUGAUGUGAAGAUUGUCAUGUUUGUCAUGAAGAUUGUCAAGUUUGUCAUUACUUCUGAACUCCCAAAAUAAAUUGAAAUAAAUAAAGGUUUUUCUUCUAAAUCAGAGGAUGGUUCUUACUUAUUUAGUAUGAUGAUCUGUAAAAUGUCAUCAAAUGCACUGUAAAGAGAGGGAAUUGAUGGCAAAUCCUUACUAAGAUGUUGCAAAGUAAGUAGGAGGGAAGGAUCCUUGUGUUUAGAAGGACAGUUUUUUAUUUACACGCACACGUAUAUGUUUUGAGGUUACUAAAGAACACCCAGCUAUAUCUUCAACUUCAGUUAGCAGGAGUUUCUAUUACAUUUUAACACAGGAUGGGUGAGAAAAUGUUUCAUUUUAUACGCAUGUGUAUACACACAGACAUUCCAAAAGACACAAACCAUUUCAGAAAUGACAGUUUCCUCGCUGUCCAAUUAGGUGAAUUGAAUGUGAUUAUGUUGUAGUUCUCAGGGCUCUAAUUGCACAUAAAAACUUCCAAAUCACAACACGUGGUAUUUCCAUCCAAAACAAAGGGAGAAUUAUUAAAAUGUGGUGGGAUUUCAUGUAACACUGGCAGACAGCUUAGAUGGCAAUAAUUUAACACUUGCACCAUGAAAUUAAAAUUUACGUUCACUCUGUGCAAUUCUUCAGACCAGCAGCAGACAGUUGUAUUUUUUUUAAUGAGAGCAGGGAGAUUUAAUUACUUGAAUUUAACUAGAAAAACCUUUCCAUUGCUUGAUGACAGAGGCAAUAAUAUUGGCACAGAUUUGCAGAUGCUUUUUGAGCCUGCUUUCCAUAUUCUCCAUAGCUCUGCUUUGCAGCAUCCAUGUUUCUGAAGGCCAUGAACAACCACAUAGAUUCUUCCACAGAUUCGGAGCAAUGCAUGCAAAUUCCAGCUGCCCAUAAAUCAUUGUCUGAAAGGCAAAUGUUAUGGCUGCUAUAAGCAUUUCAAGUAAGUUCCAAAACUUUCAGCAUUGUGUCUUUCUGAACAGAAUUUGUACAAAUUAUACUACUAUGUCUUCUCAAAAAUCCUUCUCUUUUGCAACAAUUCCUUCUGUAAUGCAUUAUUGUCAAUGUAACGAAUGCUAAAGAAUUGAGCUGUAACUCACCAAACACAAACUACAAAAAUACAUUUGUUUUUUAUUGCCAUGAGGUCUGGUAGAAUAGAAUUACCAAGUUUUCUUUUAUACAGAAACAUAUAUUUUCCAGACAGUUUAGAGAAAAUUGAAGCUAGAAUGCUAUCCUAAGGCUACAUGUAAGUCUAAGUUGAGGUUCAUAUAAGUACUUAAGAUAAACAUUUUCUAUACUCAGUUAGACCACGAUAUAAAGAGAGGGAUGAAUGGCAGAUGAGCAUUGCUCUGUGCAAGUUGGUUCAACAGCAAAGGUAAGAACAGCAGAUGUGUACUGGAGAUCAGGAAGACUACUAUUGUGUGAGUACUGUAAUAAGGCUAAAAUCAGAAAAGAUUAUUAUUAUUUUUAAAAAGAUUUCUCAGUGAAUUUGGGCAUUUGUUUCCUUUAAGAAAGAGUAAACUAUAGACACGUCUGAUUUCAUUGUCUCAGCAGUACAGGGACACGGUACUACAGCCCAGGAAUACAUCAUCCCUUUAACAUUUGCAUGAUGCUUCUGAAAAAGUAAUGGAAAUUAUCUGCAUUGUUUUAUGUUUUAUAAUCAACCACUGAUCUCAGUUUAAGGACUAAGCAAACAACUCUCAGGGAUAGGAGAGAACGGAGGAAAAGGAGAUACCCUCCUACAACCCACCUUUUAAUAUUUAUGCUUGAAAUGGAAAAUACAGAUGUUGCAGAAGUACACAUCUGGGACAUUGUUUCCAUAUUUUUGACAGAGAAUAAUUUUCACUGCUUUUCAUCCAAGUGGCUUAAAAUCAAUGUUUUUGUUCAAAAUAAAAUUGCAUGAAUACUUUUGCUGAUCUUGCAAUCUGUACUGUUGUACUUAUUUCUUUUCUCCCCAGAAGCUUUGUAGGAUUCUUGUCUGGUUUAUAGGGUUUAGGCUGUUUUCUCCUUUCACCACUGUUCCAGUGCUCCAUUUGCAAAGUGUUUAGAUUACAGCAGACGCGAACUUCCUCUGUCUCAGAGCCAGCAAUGAAUCAGGCUGAGAGCUGGGACCACUGGCUGUCAGAGGACCCUGAAAAGCUGCAGCUUUAAAAUAACAAGUAUUUGACAGCUCAGUUUACAAAGCUGCAGAUUGUAGUUAUAUUGUGCUAUGGGGCUACAUAUGACAUAAUAACUUGGGACUUAAAGUUAUUUAGUCUCUUUCCUCUCACCGUAAUUUCCAGUAAAUAAAUCUCUCUGGGACAGGAGGUCUGUUGAGUUGUACAAUGCUUGCAUUUUCUUCACCACAGCUUGUCCUCUCUCUUUCCUAUUUUAUACGUUAAAAAACCUCAGUGUCUGGUAAUCGCAUUUCUAUAACACUUCCUGUUGAAAGAGACAGACUAAUAUAAAUACAUACAGUGUGUAUUUUUAAAUUUUUAUUAGUCAAGGUAUUCAUUGCAAGUCUUCCUAUCAAAAUCUCUUCAGAAAAUCCUUUAUGGACAGAGCUUAAUGCUGUGUAGUUGGAGUGGAACAUGGGCAAACUUUUAAAAUGCUUUAAAUGGUGCUUUAGAAAAAGAGCUGCGCUCACAAGAUUAUUGUGAGUUGUAUUUUACAAAAUUAGCCGACAGAGGUUCCAUCAAUAUAGAUUCACCUGAACUGAAAAAAACAGAACUGAAUAAAACGUGGCAACUGGAAUGCUUGUUUUUCUCCAAAAAUAAGAUAUUGUAGAAUGAAGGAAACAGUGUCUUUACAUUAACACAUUUGCUCUAAGAGAACUAGCUAUUUUUGCUGCAGUCCCUUUCCAGUAACAAAAUGGUAAGAAGUGCCAAUGUUUUCCUGAUUUAAUUUUCCUUUUACUAAUAUUUAGGCUUUCAAAGAAGCCCAAGGGAUAUGGUUGCUCAGUUUACACUAGACAUUCAAAUCUCCUUGCUUUUGAAAUCCCAUGUCUAAUUUCAACUUUUUUUAAUUAUUAUUUUUUUUUAAAGGUCUUAAUUCUUCAGAGUCUCUUUACACUAUUUUUGUUGUAACUCUAAAAAAGGUUUAUUAAGGUUUGGGGAUGUAUUUUACAGGUAAGAUUGCAGAAGACUUAAAAAUCUUUAUCCUUGCAGGUUUUUUUGUGUUUUUUUUUUCUUCUUUGGAAUAUAGGACACUAGAUACAAUGGACUACAACAGUCAAUAAAUGUUGUAUAAAUGUUGUAUUGUAUAGUACAUGCAUGGAUUCCUUGUAACAUCAGCUUUCUUCAGUUGAGUUCAUCAUCUUAGGCUCCAUCUGAAGUCUCUGCAGACUUGAUUAGGGUAUGGUUUCUCUGGCCUAUUUUAAGUGUUUACUUUAGAAUGAUAUGAAUCACAAUCUGAACUACUGAGUAGAUUUCCACUGUCUGUCAAGAGAACCCAGUGUUGACAUCUACAUCAAAUCAGAUUAUUUCUACUCUUAAAGCUGAACUAUUCUUAAAGUCUAGGAGAAUCUCUAGCCUUGAGUUGAGCAGUUCUGGUUCUCAUUGCCACCAACGUCAAAAUGAACACUGUCUCGAUGUAUUGAUGCUUUUCAGAAGAAUCACAGUGAAACAUAACAUUUAGGCACCAUUCCUAACAUUUCUGGAGCUGAUAUCAGGUAGGAAAAUGUGACUACAGAUACUGAAGGUUAUGAAUAAAAUAGAUGGGUUUGUUCACUGUCUACAAAGGAUAGUGGUACAGAUAGAUCUUUCAGAUUUAGUAAAUGUGGAAGGUAAUGAUUAUGUGAAGACAGACAGUUUAGUUGACUUGGGUUUCUGAAUCCAAUAAGUGACUAAAAACUAAAAAUGUGACUAAAUGUAAGUAUUUGAACUUGGGUGUAAUCUGCCUAUACUUGAGAUUCAUUACCUGUAUCAUAAGCAGAUAAAUAACAUUUACCUUUAUUUUUGAAGUCCAAUAAUAGCUGUUAUACUCUGAAAUGGUAGUACUAGAUUAUAAUUGACUAAUCUGUAUUGAAUAAAGUAAAAAAAACACUGAAGGCAAAAGGAAAGAAAUUAGUUUCUAACAGUUCUUUUUUUAUUGUGUGUCUUAUUUAGAAUCAGAUUAUUUUCAGAAUACUGAAACAUGUCUUUCUCUGUCUGUCCAAAACAUGUAUUAGUUUUUGCAUAUUUUUUUAUAGUGAAAUAUUGCUUUGUUUUGCUAGCUUUACAUUUGGGAAUGUGGUUUUAAAAAUAAUUCUUCGUAUUCAUUUGGAGAGAAAUAAUCUAUAAAUAUACCUAUGCACUCACAGGGUUUAGCACUUGACAGUUUUAUUAAAAACAACAAGUACACACAGUCUUAGCAUUGUUUCUAAAAUGUUGCUAAUCCUUGGCUGUGAAAUAUCAGAAAAGUGAAAUGAGACAUCGGGGUUUCAGUUUGCCAAAUGUGAGAGGUUAUUAAAACAAUUUUUUCCCGUACAACAUAUUUAUGAAAAAAUGUACACAAAGAAUAAAAAGUCAGAAAAAAAUGGCACAUUUAGCAAUAACUGCAAAAGAAAUUCAUUUCUUAUGAACUUGCAAGGUUGUUCUAUUUCCUGUUUUUUUUCCCAACCACUAUUACAAGAAAAGGAUUGUUACUUCUCACAAAAUUAUUUUGCAGAUCUUUCAUACUAAAAGAUUUAACUUGAAAAUGAACAGCAAUACAGUAAUUGGAAUUUAUUUAGUUAGGUUUUUCUUGCCUAAAUCAGUUCAUCUAAAAAUAGGGCUUCUAGAUCAAACUAGUCAACUGGCUUUUCUCUCAAUCAGUGUGAGAGACAGACGCCGCAAGAACAGCACAUCUUCUUGGUCCUUGAUACUUCCACAGAGAUGUAAUCACAAGUAUUCUGAGUCACACAGUUUGGUUCAGAAAACCCAACCAUUCACUGACAAGUGGUGGAAGUAACAAUAAUUCCUGGAAAACUAAAACCCCUCUAAAUAGUAACUCUAUUGAAUUUUCAACUAAGAGAUUAAGUACUGAUCCUAACAGUCACUGGAUGCUUUCCCUCCUCCUCAGAAGCUCACUUGUCAGUGAUUUAACUUUCCACAGUGGCUAUCUUUAUGAACUGAAUCUAAAUGGCCCUUCUGAUGUUUUAUUUUUUUCCAGGAAUUAGUUUGAUCUAUGCCUACUGUCAUUAUGUCUACUGCUUUUAAUUUAUAAAAAGAAGCAAACAAUCCUGAAGACCAUGUUUUAAGAAAAGGCGAGCCAUCCUUCAUCUGUUUCUUUUGUUAGUGAGAAUAAAUUACUGUUAAAGUAUUUUUUUUAAAUGAAGUAUAAUAGUAUAACAUACUUUCCUAUUAUGUGGUUCAUAGGAGCAGCUGCACUUGAAAAGACAAAAAACAAAAGAUUUUGGGAAAAGUAAAAUCAGGAGAAAAUAAUGCAGAUAUAAAAAAUUUGUUAACUUUUUCUUCCAUAAAACAGCUUUGAAAGCAUAGAAAGAGAUGGGUUAGAUUUCUGCUGAAUUCAUUAACCUUGAGAAUAUCCAUAGAAGUCGUAGGAUAGGUUACCCAGGACACUGAACUGGGACUCAAAUUUUUCCCAGGAUAAAGCUUUUUCCAGCAUUUAUAGCAUGAUGUCAAUGCAAAGCUUUUCCCAAACUUCCUGGAACAGUUACAGGCAAAUCACUGGAGACACAAAAAAUAUCUGGGGCCUCAGCCAGCAACAUUCCUCUAUGAGUACUGGUAUCUCAAUUUGCUCUUUAUUUUCUUAAUUGGCAUUAUGCAAUUUUGAAGAUUUACAGCCAGCUAGACUAUGAAAAAUGGAAUAGAAAAGCCAGAGCUGAAAGUGACAGCAAUCAUUUUACCACAUAGUAGACAUAGUUUUUUUCUACAAACUCAACUAGUUUACAACAAAAUCUCCCCUUUAAUCUUCUGUGAUGUUGCAAAAGUCAUCAGCCUCCCAGAUUAUAUCUUAUCUGUGGCUCGUAUAAUGAAUGUUUUAAUCCACUGGAGCAACAGAAUAAACCAUAAUUAUAUGUAUUUUAGGCUGAGGGUAUGUUUCCUUAAAAAUGUAUCCUAUUUUUGCAUUAAAAUCUCAGCUUCUUAAAACAAACAAUCCAUAGACUCUAUGAUCAUUACUCUACAUUUUAUGUAUGUUGUCAAACCUUCCAAUAGCAUUUUAAAGUACCUCAAAGUACUGCUGUUGUGAAACUUGUAGAUAAUCUAUGUAAUCAUGGACAUCUGACUCCUAAAAGGAAGGUUAUAAAAGGCACAGAGGGCAGUUAAGCAUGUAAUUGCCUUGAGAAAUAAUGGGAAUUGGGCAUCUAACUCUCCUCUGUACCUCAAAAAAUGUCCCCUACACAGAGUGGAGAGUCUGUGGUCAUGGAGAAUUCACCAAGAGAAUGGAAUAACCUUCUUUGGAGAACUUUGACCUUGAAAACAUCAGCAUCUUCUCAGCAAGUAUCACAAAAACAAGGAGGAAGAAGGUGUUCAGAUUUAGCCUCCUGUGAGCAAUUCCUUGACUACUUUCCUGCACUUUCUGUCCUUGAUAUUAUCAGUCAUAAGCAGUGGUCUCUAAAAGUGCAGUCUGGGAAAUUUCCUUCAACAUUAAAAUAUUAGUCAUUCCGGGUGUAGUCAGUCCCACACUUCUGCUGAUAAUUUAUUUCAGUUUUGUUUCAGAAUAUAAUGUUUCCAACAGCUACGUCUAUGGCGAGACCUGGGUCUGAUCCCUUAGCUGUCUUCCCUCAGCUUGUUUGUUGGCUGCACUGGAGAGUGACUGUACAGUUGGCUCUAGUGUGGCUGCUGUCAGACUGUCUCUUGAAAGGAGCAGAGCUUCAAUCCUAUCCCUUGGAAAACUUCAGCUAAUAGUGUAUUAGCAACAACGUGUUCUUUCAUUUUUCAUGAAAAAAUGUUCAGGUUUAGCUUAUCUCUGGAUCACUGCAGAGGAUGCCUUGAAAGCCUGAAGAUUUUUCUAACUAAACUGAAAAGCUGAAAUCCAUAGUAUAAAUUUCAGGACUGUGCUACCAUUUACGAAUGUGUCCUUUCUUUCAUCUCAAAAUUGCAAUCUUUGCAUAGACAGUAGCAUCAUCUUGAAGAAAGAUACCGCACAUAAGUAUUCAUAACAUUGUUUUUUCUUGUGUGCUACAAAACUGUCAUAUACUCGGAGACAAGGAAUAAUAAUCCACCGUAUGAGAUAGUCUGUGCGCACAAAACAAAAAACGAAACAAACAAAAAAAAAACCCAACCAACUAAAAAAAAGGAAGGCCUUGAUAAACUCAACAAAGCUUACUAAAAUCAUAAAUAAAGAAAAUGUCUUGUAGGGACAACUUCUGCCCUCAUUUAGAAACAGUGAAUUCAUUGUGAUUGGUUACCAAAUUUGGCCUUAGAAACAGACCAUGUAUUUUGUCUGUAUAUGUCUGGCUUAUGUAUUUUAACUGUGUUUACUUGACCAUAAAGGCAGAGAAGUCUCCCUCUUGAACUCAGUGGAAGUGUUGGCUCUGACCUCUUACAGAAAAGAAAGAGACCAAAAAUGGUGAUUGUUUUCUUUCUUGAAUUGUUAUUAUUUCUAACUUGAAUUGUGAUUCUUAACUACCCUAAGUUGGCCUACAUACACUUUUUUUUUUUUUUUUUUUUUUUUUUGGGAAGGAGAAAGCUUGCAAGGUCCACAAAUUAAUUAGACUACUAUGAAUGUUGAUGGAAAUGUAAAUCUAGAGAAGUCAAUACACUCUGCAACUUAGUCUCUCCUUUUUUUUUCAUCUACAAACCUUUCACAACAGAAAAUUGGGAUUUGAAAUAAAACAACAUGCAAGUGACAGGAAAAAUAACCCAACAAAACAUCUGUGGCAAAAAGCAGAAAUAUAGGUAAAAACAAAAGAGAACAUAUAAGCAAGGUGCUACGAGUGAAAAUGAGAGAAGGAGCUGGAAUAUAUGAUGAAAUAUCCAGCCAUUGCUUUUAAAACCAAGCAUUUUUCAUUCUUUCCAAAUCUGCAUACUUAAUGAAGGGAAUUCUCUAGACAGAGGACAAACUAUGAAGAUUGUUAAUGAAAAAAUUAGGGACAGUUGGGAGCUAAACCUGCUGUAUUAUUGCUUCACUGCUCUCAGCCUGCAGCAGUUGGAUUCAAACAAUUCUCUGCACCAAAACAGCUAACAGUUGAAGGGAUGCUCUUCCCUCUUUCUCUCCUGUUGUCAACAGAAAAGUCAGUUGUAAAUUUAUCAAAUGUGGGUGAGAGAGAAAGAAAAGUUUUCAUGAUUUCUAGGCUGACUUAUGGAUGACUAAACUGGGUGUCUUUUUUGUUUUUAGCAGAAAAACAUAGUGGCUGAUAAAUAGUAUCUUAGAGUUAGGACUUUUGCUUUGAGUGCCUCCUCCAGUGCAAAGCUUCGCAAAAACGCCAGUGUGUGAAGCAGCACAUUAGUAAUUUUGUAAAAGGGUAAAGUUCUGUGGAAAAUGAGAUAGAGAAUGAACUGAACAUUGCUGAUUUCAAACGAGUAUAUGAUGUGGCAGUGUCUCUGAAGACUGGGAGAAAUGUAAUCUGACAGUUCCUACAUCUUAGUAAUGGCAAGUAUCCCGUCACAGAAUGCAGAGGAGAGAAAAAAAAUGUUAUUGUGCUUUAACUUGCCACUUGUGAUGACACGAACAUCACACAUUCUGACAUCUGCUAGAUGUGUCUAGAUCCAUGAGUGAGUAAUUCAUUAAAAAAAAAAAUAAAAAGCUCAAUUUUUUUUUCUUUUUUCUUUCAAUGACUCAUCCACAUGCUUAACAGAAUGUUCUGGAUGAGCAUUUACUUUUUCCUUUUUUUUUCCAAUGAUCACAAGCAUUAUUAUUAAAAUUACAGUUACUAGGAGAAUAUUAGUAAUUAUACAGACACAUCUUCUGUGAAUAUUCUAUGAAAUUCAAAUACAAUAUAAAUUUGGGCUUCUUACCAUUGUUGAAUGUCCACUUGUUCUGAAGUCAGAAAGUAAACAUGGUAAGAUCUAGUCUAUCCCUAUGUACAACAUCUCACGUAAGCUUUUUUCCCACAGAUGUUUCACUAAGAUGAUGAUGUUUCCUCUGUGGUUGUAGCAUAUGUUUUAGAAAGACAUGAUGCCUUGAUGACAAGAAAAGUAGAAGAGCAAAACAAUUACAAGCACUAUCUUACCUUGGAGGGGCUUCUCUCCAGGUUUACAUUCUUGUGUUCAUAAGGCCAGAGACACCUCCUGUCUGGAAAGUUCAGGCUACAAAGCGGCUUGAGUGGCAAGAGGGUUGUUUGGGAACAAACCUCCCAAUGACAUUUGUGAUCUCAGUUAGCAUUUAAAUUAAGAAGCACACAGGACUAAAGCCAAUGUAUAAACCCACAAGACAAAGAGGCCUGCACUUAAAUCACUUUAUAAGUGAGUAAUGCUCUCUAGUGAGUAAAGCUCCAGAGAAAGAACAGACAACAGACAUUGGCCGAGCAGAGGGCUUUGCAGGGUAUACUUUCCCUUUAGGACAUUCAGUACAUCUUGCACUUUUAUCUUUAUCAUCUACAAGUUUCCUCUUUCCAUUUCUUGGUAGCACAGAACAUUUCGUAUCCGUCCCCAAGAGAGCUCCUUUCCUUGUUAUUACUUCAACUUACAAAUAUGAAAUGAAUGUUGCCCAAAUACUUUCAUGUGCUGAGUUACAUUGAACUUCCAGUGAAUCUUGGUAUGUGUGGGAGGAGAUAAUUCCAUUGUUUGCAGGAGAAAGUAUUUUGGUAGCAUUGAGGAGUCAGAGUUGAUUCUUCAGCAUAAUUUAAACUGGUGUCAGCUGCAGGUCAAGACACAUAUACGAUUUUCUUAAAUCAUACUAAUUCUACAUUGCUAUUUUAUCCCUUGUGCUGUGACCACAAAUUCGGAGUAGGUUUUAGACAUUGCUAACGCUGGCAUACCUAUGCCUUCCUUAUACUGUGAUGUUUUAUUGUCCCCUGAUUUAGGCCUGCAUUCAAAUUGUUAUCUACUGUCAACUGUUCUCCUUUGCAUAAAUAUCAAAAGAUUGUGGCAAAUUUCUUUGUAGGAUCAUACCUAUCCUCAAAACAAAAUAAAAAAGUAUGUGGAACUAUUUCUUUGACUGAGGAUCUCUGAAUUAAUCUCUUACUCACUAUCUUCUCUGUCCAUUGUUUGCACUGAUUGUCCUGCAUGUAUGCAUUUUUGGAAGGUAAACAGAUUUUUGUCAAAAUAACUUAUCAACCCUUAUUCUAAGACUGGAUGUUCUGAAUAGAGUUCUGAACUUAUCUAAGCCAUAUCACAUAAGAAUAUGUGCCAUAAAAUACUUUAGCACCUAAAUCAUGCCUUCUGUUCAAUAGUUUUGUUGCAUGAAAUAUUAUGGGAUCCAGUUGUUCACAAUGUUGCUGCAAGAAUCUUUGUGGUUCAACCAAGCAUAAAGAACACAGGCACUUUGUGAUGAACUACAGUGAACAAACUUCUAAUCAGAAAUUUUGUGCUGCCAGUCCCAUAAAGCACUAAGCAUAUGAUAAAUAUAAUGGAACAAGCAAAGAACCGAGAAUUGCUGCAAUUUUCAAGCCUGCUGCCUGUGUGCCUGUACUUUGGAAAAUAUUGUUUCAUUUUUUAAUUUUUAGGUAAAUACUGAUAGAAAUAUCUGAAUUUGUACUUUGUCUCCUUCAGCCUGACUUGCACUACCAUACUCUUUUGCACACAAAACUCAACAUUUUCUGAGGGUAUUUGCAACCUCAGGCUUACACUACAGACAAACUUUAACCUUUAUUUUAGCUGAAAACGGUGUCUAAAUUCAUGGCUCCUUACAUUUCUGCAGUAUGUUUCACAGGUUUAAAUUAUGCACAUAGGAAGUAAUAAGUGUUUUUCACCCACCUUUUCCACUGAGAGGAUAAACUCAGACACUGACUGUGUUGACAGUAUUUCCUUCCUGGGGAAAUCUGUAUGUGAGCAUAUUAUUACUCAAAUGUCUAUCUUAACACUUACCCUGUUUCAUCUUUGUAUCGGUCUACAAGUAUUAUAACUUAUCCUAUUGCCUUGACAGUCUAAGAUGAUGAUAGUCCUGUCUUGAAUCUAUCUCAAGACCCACUGGCAGUUAGAAAUAUAUUUGUAUUCAGACAAGUUAGUAAUGAGCAGCGUGGAGAUUACUCAAAGUGACCAAAUUCCUCAGCACAGUAGAUAUAAGAACAGGUAAUUGGGGAAACCAGCUCAUUAUUAUGUACAAGCAGCAUAUCUGCUUCAGAUUACCUGCAAGAUGAUGAUUUAUACAAUAGGAAAGUAUUUACCUGAAAACAAUGAUCUCAUCAAGUAAUAGUCCUCCGUUGAUUCAAGGAAAAUUCUGUUGCAAUUGUGUCCUGCAGAAGUGGUAAGGGAGACAGUCCAGAAAAAUUCAGAUCCAGGAGUGAAGAUCACCACCAAAAAGAACCCUCUAGGUAUUCCUUCAGACAUGACUAUCUGCAGUAUUGCUUCAUAGUUUUCAAGUUUUACCUUAUUUACAUUACCAUUUGCAAUGGAUUUUUUUUUCUUUUUUAGCAUUACUUUUUGCUCAAACUCCUCCUUCAUGACCCCUUUUCUCUCCUACAUGUUACUUGAUUUUAUAUGGCUCUUACACAGCUGUAACAAAAGAGAGUUGAUAUUUAAAUACUUUUGGAAAGCAUGUCAUUUUCCUAUCCAUCUGCUACUUCCCAGUGGGCCUGCUAAGCUGCCUUCCUGACUUACAGAGGCUAGUGUUAGACCUCUGGAAGAAUCAG
ensembl:lncRNA